rnacentral:rRNA from 1 species
UAAUACCCUAUAGAUUACAGAUGCUGGAAUGCCCUGUAAUCAAAAGUUCCGACGCCUUAGGAUGGAUCUGCGGCCGAUUAGGUUGUUGUUGGGGUAAUGGCCCAACAAGCCAGUAAUCGGUACGGGUUGUGGGAGCAAGAGCCCGGAGUUGGAUUCUGAGACACGAAUCCAAGCCCUACGGGGCGCAGCAGGCGCGAAAACUUUACAAUGCGGGCAACCGUGAUAAGGGAACCUCGAGUGCCUGUAUACGCAGGCUGUCCAGGUGCCUAAAACACACCUGAAGAAAGGGCCGGGCAAGACCGGUGCCAGCCGCCGCGGUAAUACCGGCGGCUCGAGUGGUGGCCGCUUUUAUUGGGCUUAAAGCGUUCGUAGCUGGUUUGUUAAGUCUCUUGGGAAAUCUGGCGGCUUAACCGUCAGGCGUCUAAGGGAUACUGGCAAUCUUGGAACCGGGAGAGGUGAGGGGUACUUCGGGGGUAGGAGUGAAAUCCUGUAAUCCUCGAGGGACCACCUGUGGCGAAGGCGCCUCACCAGAACGGCUUCGACAGUGAGGGACGAAAGCUGGGGGAGCAAACCGGAUUAGAUACCCGGGUAGUCCCAGCCGUAACACGAUGUGCGUUAGGUGUAU